GACAGAGGGUGCAAACGUUGUUCGGAAUUACUGGGCGUAAAGCGUGCGCAGGCGGUUUGUUAAGUCUGCUGUGAAAUCCCCGAGCUCAACUUGGGAAUUGCAGUGGAUACUGGCAGGCUGGAGUAUGGUAGAGGAAGGUGGAAUUCCCGGUGUAGCAGUGAAAUGCGUAGAGAUCGGGAGGAACACCAGUGGCGAAGGCGGCCUUCUGGACCAAUACUGACGCUCAUGCACGAAAGCGUGGGGAGCAAACAGG
rnacentral:rRNA from 1 species